CUUAUACUUCCUCCGUCUCACAAUUUUUGUCGUAGAUUUGUUUAGAUAUGAAUGCAUCUAGUCAAGUUUUAGUAUUUAGAUACAUUAAUUUUAGAAAAAGUUAAGACAAGAAUUUUGAGACGGAGGGAGUAUUUA
rnacentral:pre_miRNA from 1 species